rnacentral:snRNA from 1 species
AUACUUACCUGACAGGGAAGAUAACUGUGAAUAUGAAUGUAGUCUUCCCAGGACAAGACGUAUCUAUUUUACUUCAACUCUGCUGAUCUUUCCCCAAAUGUGAGAAACUCAACAGCACAAUCUGUGAUGUUGAUUUCACUGCAUUCAUGCUAUC